AUUGAACGCUGGCGGAAUGCUUUACACAUGCAAGUCGAACGGCAGCACGGGUGCUUGCACCUGGUGGCGAGUGGCGAACGGGUGAGUAAUACAUCGGAACGUACCCUGACGUGGGGGAUAACACAGCGAAAGUUGUGCUAAUACCGCAUACGUCCUGAGGGAGAAAGCGGGGGAUCGCAAGACUCCGCGCGUUAGGAGCGGCCGAUGGCGGAUUAGCUAGUUGGUGGGGUAAAGGCUCACCAAGGCGACGAUCCGUAGCUGGUCUGAGAGGACGACCAGCCACACUGGAACUGAGACACGGUCCAGACUCCUACGGGAGGCAGCAGUGGGGAAUUUUGGACAAUGGGCGGAAGCCUGAUCCAGCCAUUCCGCGUGAGUGAAGAAGGCCUUCGGGUUGUAAAGCUCUUUCGGCAGGAACGAAACGGUGUGGGCCAAUACCCUGCAUCAAUGACGGUACCUGAAGAAGAAGCACCGGCUAACUACGUGCCAGCCGCCGCGGUAA
rnacentral:rRNA from 1 species